UACGUAGGUGGCAAGCGUUGUCCGGAAUUAUUGGGCGUAAAGCGCGCGCAGGUGGUUUCUUAAGUCUGAUGUGAAAGCCCGCGGCUCAACCGUGGAGGGUCAUUGGAAACUGGGAAACUUGAGUGCAGAAGAGGAAAGUGGAAUUCCAAGUGUAGCGGUGAAAUGCGUAGAGAUUUGGAGGAACACCAGUGGCGAAGGCGACUUUCUGGUCUGUAACUGACACUGAGGCGCGAAAGCGUGGGGAGCAAACAGG
rnacentral:rRNA from 1 species